UGGGCGUAAAGCGUGCGCAGGCGGUUUUCCAAGACAGAUGUGAAAUCCCCGGGCUCAACCUGGGAAUGGCAUUUGUGACUGGAAGGCUAGAGUGUGUCAGAGGGGGGUAGAAUUCCACGUGUAGCAGUGAAAUGCGUAGAGAUGUGGAGGAACACCGAUGGCGAAGGCAGCCCCCUGGGUCAAGAUUGACGCUCAUGCACGAAAGCGUGGGGAGCAAACAGG
rnacentral:rRNA from 1 species